GUGGGUGUAGCUCAGUGGUAGAGCCCUGCUUUGUGGCAGCAGUUGUCGUGGGUUCGAGUCCCAUCAUCCACC
rnacentral:tRNA from 1 species